AGGUGGAAACGGAUAGAGUCGGCGUAUCUUGCAAGUAUUCAUUUACAUUUUUAUCGUAUUGUAAUCUCUGAGCUCCAGAUUGGGACAGUUUUUACUUUAUUAUAAAAUUGAGAUGCAUUUGCUUGUUUGGUGCGUAGGGAUGUUUGAGAUAGAUUUGUGACCGCCGUUUUGAGGCCAGCUUGCUGGUACCCAAACUGUGUUAGCAUUUUUUAUCUUGGAUAUUUGAGUAUGGCUUACGGGCGUUUAUAGGUUCGAUCUGAGUGUAAGUUACGGUCGCAUGCGACACGUGCUUUUCAAUUAGUUCGGUCCAGUUAAUGCUCUCAUACUCUUUCCCUAUGUAAAAGCCGGUCAUCUAUCCGACCCGUCUUGAAACACGGACCAAGGAGUUUAUCGUGUGCGCAAGUUUUUGGGUGUUUAAAACCUAAAAGCGCAAUGAAAGUAAAUGUUCUCUUUCGAGACUGAUGUGCGAUAUUUUUUUUUCGAAAAAAUUGCAGCAUGGCCCCAUUCUAUCUGUUUACAGAAGGGUGGCGGAAGAGCGUACGCGGUGAGACCCGAAAGAUGGUGAACUAUUCCUGAGCAGGAUGAAGCCAGAGGAAACUCUGGUGGAAGUCCGAAGCGGUUCUGACGUGCAAAUCGAUCGUCUGACUUGGGUAUAGGGGCGAAAGACUAAUCGAACCAUC
rnacentral:rRNA from 1 species